CCUACGGGUGGCAGCAGUGAGGAAUAUUGGUCAAUGGACGCAAGUCUGAACCAGCCAUGUCGCGUGCAGGAAGACGGCUCUAUGAGUUGUAAACUGCUUUUGUACGAGGGUAAACGCAGAUACGCGUAUCUGUUUGAAAGUAUCCUAAGAAUAAGCAUCGGCUAACUCCGUGCCAGCAGCCGCGGUAAUACGGAGGAUUCAAGCGUUAUCCGGAUUUAUUGGGUUUAAAGGGUGCGUAGGCGGUCGGAUAAGUUAGCGGUGAAAUCGGGAGGCUCAACCUCGGAAUUGCCUCUGAUACUGUUCGGCUUGAGAGUAGUUGCGGUAGGCGGAAUGUGUGGUGUAGCGGUGAAAUGCAUAGAGAUCAUGCAGAACACCGAUUGCGAAGGCAGCUUACCAAGCUACAACUGACGUUGAGGCACGAAAGCGUGGGGAGCAAACAGGAUUAGAUACCCCUGUAGUC
rnacentral:rRNA from 1 species